AUUGAACGCUGGCGGCAUGCCUUACACAUGCAAGUCGAACGGUAACGGGCCUUCGGGUGCCGACGCGUGGCGAACGGGUGAGUAAUACAUCGGAACGUGCCCGAUCGUGGGGGAUAACGAGGCGAAAGCUUUGCUAAUACCGCAUACGAUCUACGGAUGAAAGCAGGGGACCGCAAGGCCUUGCGCGGACGGAGCGGCCGAUGGCAGAUGAGGUAGUUGGUGGGAUAAAAGCUUACCAAGCCGACGAUCUGUAGCUGGACUGAGAGGAUGAUCAGCCACACUGGGACUGAGACACGGCCCAGACUCCUACGGGAGGCAGCAGUGGGGAAUUUUGGACAAUGGGCGCAAGCCUGAUCCAGCCAUGCCGCGUGCAGGAUGAAGGCCUUCGGGUUGUAAACUGCUUUUGUACGGAACGAAAAGCCUUCUUUUAAUACAGGAGGGUCAUGACGGUACCGUAAGAAUAAGCACCGGCUAACUACGUG
rnacentral:rRNA from 1 species